CCUCAAUCCACUCUCCCGGCAUCCUCUUCCCCGCGGCCCCUCCUCCGCUCCCCUCCUCAGUGGUGCGUUCUUGGCGGCGGGGAGAGACACCACCCAAGCCAUGGGCGGCGGCGGAGAAGAGAAGCCGUUCAAUUUCCUCCAGAGGGCGUCAUAGCCGGAGGGACCGCCGGCGUCGUGGU